GUCAACGGAAAAUACUUUGUACAAAUGUAGUCACAAUGGCCUAUUUAAUGCUUCGGGCUGUAGCAGUAUCAAUUAUGCAUACUUGACAUGUAAUGGAACAAUGAUAUCAAGCAACAUGAUUUGGAGCAUCAAUCAACCACACUUUUUCUUGACCACCACUCAGUACAAUGAAACCUGGGCCACCAUAUCAUAACCGGAGUUUGAACAUACAGGGGGUCCUUUCAAGUUCAUGUUUAAAUAUCGCAAGAUAAG